UACGGGGGGGGCAAGCGUUGUUCGGAAUUACUGGGCGUAAAGCGCGCGUAGGCGGCUUUGUAAGUUAGAGGUGAAAGCCCGGGGCUCAACCCCGGAACUGCCUUUAAAACUGCAUCGCUUGAAUCCGGGAGAGGUGAGUGGAAUUCCGAGUGUAGAGGUGAAAUUCGUAGAUAUUCGGAAGAACACCAGUGGCGAAGGCGGCUCACUGGACCGGCAUUGACGCUGAGGUGCGAAAGCGUGGGGAGCAAACAGG
rnacentral:rRNA from 1 species